UUCAGUUCAGUUUAGAACGUGUGCUUUCACGAGACGGUUCGUUACAUGUUGGCAGCAAUGUGGAAUUAAAAGCAGAUAUUAAAGAAUUUGAUCAGAAGCGAAAGUUUAGUUGGAAAUAAAUAAGUUUUAGCGAAAGUCUUACUAUAUGUAGUCAAACGUUAAAGGUGAAAUAAAAUGCACUUUACCAGGACAAUAAGCGUUCGUCAGCACGGAGAUGGCCGCUUAGUCUGUAAAUACUCGUAUAGUCGGUGGCUAAAACUGGCAUACGCGCGACAGAAAUGCUUUAAAAAAAGAAGUAAGGCAACGAGUGUGGUUGGAAAGUGCUGCCUAAGUGCAAAUAAGCGAUAAAUAGUUUAGGAUAAAAAUCGGGCCGAAAUAGCACCAGUAUAACUCUGAGUGAAAAUCAUCAUACCAAUGUGUGUUCAAUGUGUGCCACGUGUUUGAGUGUUCGAACAGUUAUUAGACCGGUGCAUUUCUAUCGCUUUUUUCAAACAAAAAUUCCAAACCGCGAGGGCUUAAAAUUUUAAUUAACGCCUCAGCUCACGGUUUUCGUCACUCAACCAGCGUCGUCGUCAGCAAUAUCUGUUGAUAUAGUGAAAAACAGAACAAGGAUCCGGAGCAUGUCUCUGGCAGAACAGCAAAAGCAGCGUCAUUAUCAUAUUAAAAUAACGAGGAGAACAAAUUGAUAUCAAAACAUGGCCCAAAUUGAUAAGUUGCCAUUCAAAACAACAGCAAAAGCAACAAAUCUAGUAACACUACAAUAAUAAAUUUCUAUCAUAUUUCUAUGAAACAAAUUCAUUCUCGACAUACAAUGCUAAAUCGAAGGAAAUGCAAAUGAAUAAAAGCCGAAAAUAGCUAAUAAAUAACGACAUGUAAGCGCUCGUUGCGUAAGAGUGUCUGCUGGUCGGAAUGCAAAUUUUAUUCGAAUCUUCAUAUUCCCGAGCGUCAAAGAGACACAUUAAUCUUCAUUGACGGCAAAUCGUCUGCCUAGUGAAUAAUAUCAAAGCUAUUGUGGGAAAACACGCGGACAGACAACAAAUAAACACGAAUUUAACAUGAACGACGAAUGAAAUAAGAAAUGCAGAUGAGCCAGUUUUUCGCUUGGAAACCAGCGUAACUCCUUAAUUCAGCCAUGUGUCCUCAUCACAUGUUGGAGUAAACCACUAGAUCUCAAAAGCUCAAAUUAAUAUGCCUACGUGUCACAU